rnacentral:lncRNA from 1 species
UUGAACAGAAGCAAAAGCCUCCGUAACGGUUGGACGAUAAUAAAAAGUCAUAGCAAAACCCGUCGCUACUUGCACUAAAAAACAAGUAAGUGUAAUUCCUCCUAAACAAUAAAAUAUAUUAACAUGAUGAGGGACAUAUUUACUAGUUAUAUCAUCGGCAAUGGCCUGAAUCUCAAGACGUUCUUCGAACCAAUCAUAGACUUUACUGAAAUAGGUAAACCAGGGGUCCCCCCUUAGAACCCUUUUGGCUAUACAAGGUUUUUCUCGAGCCUAUUCAUACAGUAUCUAAUCAUGUAGAUGGUUAGUGUUGGUAUCCACGCUAAGUCAAUUUAUGAUUUAUGAUACUGGUGUAAAUUCAGGUCAACUAGCAUUUUUUCCAUUUUCUACGUCCUUAAACAUAAAGAAAUGGGAGUUUUCCAAUCAUUCACUCAAAUCCAUUGUCGUCGAACCGAAUACCACUGGGAGGUACUUAUGGCAGAACGGGCCAAUCUAGUCUUUCACAAUAACGUGAUAGGUGGAACUUCCAUUAAAGGACUUAUUAGGAGAUUAAUAGAUCGUUUCGGAAUGGCAUAUACAUCACACAUCCUGGAUCAAGUAAAGACUCUAGGAUUCCAUCAAGCUACUGCUACAUCUAUUUCAUUAGGAAUUGAUGAUCUUUUAAGUUAGCCUCAGUCAUUAUAUAUUGAACAGAAGCAAAAGCCUCCGUAACGGUUGGACGAUAAUAAAAAGUCAUAGCAAAACCCGUCGCUACUUGCACUAAAAAACAAGUAAGUGUAAUUCCUCCUAAUCAAUAAAAUAUAUUGACAUGAGGAGGGACAUAUUUACUAGUUAUAUCAUCGGCAAUGGCCUGAAUCUCAAGACGUUCUUCGAACCAAUCAUAGACUUUAUUGAGAUAGGUAAACCAGGGGACCCCCCUCAGAACCGUAUAUGAAAAUUUCAUCUCGUACGGCUCAAACAAAAAGACUCAAAUACUCGUUAUUUGGAAAAGAGAUAUGUGUAAUAGAAAGUUUUACACUUCUUAACUUAAUCCUAUGAUUCCAGUCUUUUUGAAGAUAAAAAAAAAAUAGAAAUCCAAAAAAUAUUCUUAGUGUUUAUAAUGCCAAAAUUUCAAGUCGGCUCACUCGUCUUUUCUCUUGAUCCUUACCGGCCUCGUGAAUCUUCUAUUAUUUACUUCAUGUGUAAUAGAAAGUUUUACACUUCUUAACUUAAUCCUAUGAUUCCAGUCUUUUUUGAAGAUAAAAAAAAAAUAGAAAUCCAAAAAAUAUUCUUAGUGUUUAUAAUGCCAAAAUUUCAAGUCGGCUCCCUCGUCUUUUCUCUUGAUCCUUACCGGCCUCGUGAAUCUUCUAUUAUUUACUUCAUUUUUUUUGUAUUGUGUCUGUAAUAAGAUUUUACUGCUGUUUUUUUUUUUAUUAUUAUUAUUGAUAAGAAUUUUGUUGUUAAGACCCUAUAAGAAUCAAUUAAAAACCUGAGAUUCAUACCAGAACCACGAUGAUUUCCAAAAAAAACCUUUAAUCGAAGUCCAAGAAUUCCCUGAGUAAGAACUGCUGGAUCAUCACUUAUUCAUUUUCAAGAAAUAGAUAUAAUGAAAAAAAAAAAAUACAAAGAAAUGGAUAAGCGGCGGUAGUUUUAAAGAAUAAAAUUCCAUUUCGUUUUCUAAAUGAAUUCUUCUAAGUCUUUCAUUUUUUUCGUCCGGCUGCGAGGUCUAAAUAUAAAUAUUAAGUAUGAAUCAUAGUUCUAACACUUUAGAAUCUAUUUAUUUUCUAUAUUCCGUGCUCCAGAUACUAGAAUAAAUAUCUGACGGGGUAAAGUCAUCUAUCAAGAUAAGAUGACGUAUCCAUUUUAUGUUNCUUGCUGAUCAUCACUAUCCAACAACAAUAGAAACAAAAAAAAACAAAAAAUGAAAGCCGAGUAAAGAAGAAUCCAUUUCGUUUCUAAAGAACUCAAGUCUCUCAUUUCUCGGUUUCGAAAGUCAAAAUAUAAAAAAGAACAAUAUCACACAGAUCUAAUCUCAUAUCCGUCGAACAAAAAAUAUCACAGGUAAUCAUUAUCAAAUAAACACAUUAUCUACACAAUAGACCAUAUAAAGUCACACCACUCAUAAGCCCGGAAAUACAGAAACAAAGAUAGUUCCCGGCGAACUCGAACUACCAAAUAAAUCAAAAUGGAAUGGGCUAAAAAGGAACGAUCUAAAUGGUAAACUUUACUUUUCUAUUGAAAAGCUAGUUAGUUGGUUCUUGUGAAUCGAAUUCUCUAAUUCAUAGAAAUUAUGUCCAGUAAAAUGGACGAAUUAUAAAUAUCUAAAAUAAUAGAGAGAAAUACCGCAAAUAGGGCCAUUGUAAUCCCCAUCGAAGGGGUAGUUCCCCACCCCGGAGCUAAUUUACCAUAUUCCGAAUUCAAUGGUUUCAAUAAAUCUCCUACAACAGUUCGUCUUGGACCAGAUCUAGAACUACCCUCAACGGUUUGUGUAGCCAUAAAUCCUAUUUUUUUGAUUGAGAUCUGUUGACUUUGUAUACCAUUACGCUGUAGAUAAAGGAUCUUACCCUAUAGAUCCAUUGUAGUCUUGAUAUUAUACAAUCAUGGAAACAGCAACCCUAAUUGCCAUCUCUAUAUCCGGUUUAAUUGUAAGUUUUACUGGGUAUGCCUUAAUUAGUUGGUUCUUGUGAAUCGAAUUCUCUAAUUCAUAGAAAUUUGGUCCAGUAAAAGGGACGAAUUAUAAAUCUCUAAAAUAAUAGAGAGAAAUACCGCAAAUAGGGCCAUUGCAAUCCCCAUCAAGCUAUAAAUAAAAGAUGUUAGUGACAUACUUUUGGGCUUUUGGUUAGUAAAUGAAAUGGGAAAAGCAAUGAUAUACAAUUCAAGCAUGCUUGGUGAUCUCAAAUCACUCACAAAGAGUCCCACCCAAAGGCAAGGGAACCAAGAUGCUCAAUGAUCCUUGAGGCUAUGCAAAUGAAGUGUUAUGAUGCCAUGAGGGAUCUUAGGGACAAAAUUGGGGUCUUACAGAUGCCCCUAUUUAAGGUCAUGCUAUCCGGAGAAGUGAAGGUUAAAAUCUUCGUCUCGACGAGGUAGAAUGGGCUUAAAUAAUAACAAAGAGACGAAUUUUGGUCCCUAAGAGACCUCAUGAUGCAAAUGUAUGUAUGCACAAUAGUAACACUCUGUGGGGAUAUGUGUCCACAAAGGAGGAAAGAAAAUCAGGAGACACCAACAAUCCACAUGAGUGAUUCAUCCCAUGGGUCAAAAACCUGGGGACUCUUAUGGGGAUAAGAAAGAAAUGCGUGAGCAAGGCACGACUCAAAGUUUGGGGAGCAGAAUUCCAGAAGGGAAUAAACCAAUGGAAAGACUCGAGCCAACUCAAAGAUCGCUUGGGAUGUCUAAAAAGACUCUCCUAGGGAAGCAGCGAGAUGAGGUGUUACCGGCUACUGGGUAACAAGCACAAUGAGACAUGUGAUCUGAACACCGACAUAAGGGUCAGAGAUACAACAUGCUCGGGAAGAAAUGAAUAUCUAAAACCGGUAUAAGGGUGAGAGAUAUCAAAACUCCGAAACAUCUGAGGAAGACCUAGGAAGAAAUGAAUAUCUAAAACCGGUAUAAGGGUGAGAGAUAUCAAAACUCCGAAACAUCUGAGGAAGACCUAAAAGGUAUAUUUCCACUCAGGGAAAUCUGACUCCACAGGGGACAAAAGUCAUAACAGGGAGCAGAAAGGGAGGAACACCAGAGAUGCCGGUUACUGGGCAUAUAAUAGGUGACCAACCAAGGCGUGAAUUGGGGAAUAUUCCCAAGACACUCAUCAUCCGAAAGACGACUAAAAGCAAACUCGAUUAUAGGAUGGAUACUCGAUUCCGCAAAGGGGAAACGAAUCUUACUCAACUGGGGAAGAACAAAAGGCUUCGACCGAAGAGUGCAUGAGAUAUACUAUCUAUUACCGUCAGAACAUAGAUAAUAUACUCGCAUGGAAGAUUAUCCAUAACCGGUUACUAGGUGGAUAAAGGAUAAAUCGACCGAAAAGAGAAGGCAUCGGGAUACCGAAACUAGGUAUAUAAUGAUGACCAAUCCAGGGGAGAAACAAUCAUCAUCAACAAUAAAGGGCAGACGAGAGAUGACUCGCUAAGGAUAAAUUGUGGAAAUAGGGCAAUUAUCCAGGUAAAAGAGAGGAUAUCAACACCGAAUAUUGGAUGAAGAUAACCGUCAAUGAGGGGAUUACAUCUACCGGAUACUGGGUAGAAGACCCCGGAAAAGUAACCGUCAUCGAUAACGAUGAACACCAGGUUAACUCUGCAAAGGGGAGAAAAUAGGGUUUACAACUACCGGUAUAAGGGUUGUAAACCACAGACUCCACCGGGGAUAAUAUGAAUGAUUCCUAAUUAUUGAGUAAUUAUUCAUUUAUACCGCGGGGAAUCAAAGAAAACAGCUCCGAGGGGCCAAUUUAGGGUCAAACCAAAGAGGCAAACUGAAUCAAAACUCGUCCUAGUGAGGAUAUAACUCAAUAGGGAAGUCCAUCCCAAUAUAUGUAUUGAGGGAAAAAGAAACAACCAUCAUCCACGAGGACACAACUUGGUGGGGAACAUGGAAGAAAGGAUAGACGCUUUCUGCCUAUGGAGCUGACUCUAUAUGGGGAGAUCAGACACAUACAUCUGCUUGGGGAAAUCCAUAUCACCAAUUAGUAGGAGACAAUAAACAAACGAUAUAUGGCAAAGAAUGCAACAUGAAUAUCUAAAUGUUAUGAUUAUGCAUGUAUAUGCGUGGUUUAUGUAUGAUGAAUGCUGACAAACAGAUAUAUCUAACACACAUAGGAUCCAGGAAUCAACCACCUGAUUCUAUAUCUCAAGAGAGAAAGCCAAAAUCACCGGAGAGCGACCAAUCUGCCGGGGAUCAGAGAUAACAAUAUCUCUGCAGGGGAUGAAUCAUCAGUCUCGGUUGGGAAAAGAAUUUAAUGCACGAGUAGGAUCUGCCACCCAAGCCACUCUAUUGGACAAUAUCUCUGCAGGGGAUGAAUCAUCAGUCUCGGUUGGGAAAAGAAUUUAAUGCACGAGUAGGAUCUGCCACCCAAGCCACUCUAUUGGGAAGUCUAUCCGAGGGAUAAAGGGAUUCAGGGAACCAACCACCAAAAAUCGAAUUUUCCAGAAAGAGCACAGCUGCUGAGGAGGAAGGAUCACUGCUCUGCCGAAGGGAAGGGAAGUGAACAACCUUACCAAGCACUCCACUCGGUGGGAUAAACCACAACAAUAUCUGGGAGGAAGAGGAUACAGUUAUGCCAGGAAUAUGAAUAAAGGUCUUACCCUGUUGGAGGUCAUACUACCAUUGGGAGAGCAUUGGGAAUCUCUUAAGUAUCCUUUCGUCUUUGUGAAUGUUCACUUUGUUUAAAAAUGAUUUAUGGAAAAUUUUAUUGUUUAAAACAAUGAUAUUUCUCAAUUAAAACAUGCAAAAUAUUUGUUGAAUAGAAACAAAUAAGAGUGCAAAUAAAUGAAUAAAGGCUCAAAUUUAUUGGAUGGAAUGGCAGUCUGCAAAUGGCAAGACUCCAUAGAUCUUUACAAAUUUGAAAUUGGUGAUAUAUAUUGGAAAAGGGCUACAUUGAUGUAUUACUGGUAAAGAGGUGGUUAAGACCUAAGCUACAUAACGAAGCUUUGGUCGAUGACGAAUGAACAAGAAUCUCUGACAGAUGAUAAUUGUAGAACAAAGUCUUGUCAGGAUGCAAUUACUUGCCAAAUCCCUAAUUUUUGCCUAGAUUGCCCCAGGAUGAGGUACUUGACCUAGCGGGAUAUAAAUAUUCAUCAUUUUGUUUCAUGUCUCUAACUUUUGCCUGGACCGCCCUUUCGGGUUUUCAAUCCACCGAGAUGCUCAUUUUUGCCUAAGCCGCCCUUUCGGGUUUUAAACUUAGCGAGCUAUUCUGUUUUUAUUUCUAGGCGAAGUAUUUCUUGACUGCAUCUAAAUUCACAGGACGAGUGAAAUCCUCCCCAUCCAUAGUUGUAAGUAUCAACGCACUGCCUGAAAAGGCCCUCUUAACAACAUAUGGACCUUCAUAGUUUGGAGUCCACUUGCCCCUGGAAUCGGGCGCGAAAGACAAGACUUUCUUGAGCACAAGGUCACCUUCUCGGAACACACGAGGCUUGACCUUCUUAUCAAAAGCUUUCUUCAUUCUCUGCUGAUACAACUGACCAUGGCACAUGGCAGUCAAUCUCUUCUCUUCUAUCAAAUUCAGUUGGUCAUAAAGACUCUGAACCCAUUCAGCAUCAGUCAACUUAGCCUCCAUCAAGACUCUCAUUGACGGGAUCUCCACCUCUACUGGGAGUACGGCCUCCAUGCCAUAGACAAGAGAGAAAGGGGUUGCCCCUGUUGAAGUGCGGACAGAUGUACGAUAUCCGUGAAAAGCAAAUGGCAGCAUCUCAAGUCAAUCUUUAUACGUGACAACCAUCUUCUGGAUAAUCUUCUCGAUAUUCUUGUUAGCAGCUUCAACAGCCCCAUUCAUCUUGGGUCUGUAAGGAGAAGAAUUAUGAUGUGCUAUCUUGAACUCACUACACAGCUCUUUCAUUAUCUUGUUGUUCAAGUUAGAUCCAUUAUCAGUAAUGAUCUUAUCUGGCACACCAUACCGGCAUAUGAGUUGAUUCUUGAUAAACUUCACGACCACCUGUCUGGUCACAUUUGCAUAUGACGCCGCUUCAACCCACUUGGUGAAGUAAUCAAUUGCUACGAGAAUGAAUCUGUGUCCGUUAGAUGCCUUCGGCUCUAUCAUGCCAAUCAUGUCAAUUCCCCACAUGGAGAAGGGCCAUGGUGAUGAAAUCACAUUCAGAAGUGUCGGAGGAAUAUGAAUCUUAUCCGCGUAAAUCUGACACUUAUGGCAUUUCUUCAAGCUCUAUCAUGCCAAUCAUGUCAAUUCCCCACAUGGAGAAGGGCCAUGGUGAUGAAAUCACAUUCAGAAGUGUCGGAGGAAUAUGAAUCUUAUCCGCGUAAAUCUGACACUUAUGGCAUUUCUUCACAUACUUGCAGCAGUCAGACUCCAUUGUCAGCCAAUAGUAGCCUGCUCUUAACAUCUUUCUAUCCAUAGCAUGCCCAUUGGAAUGAGUACCAAAUGAACAUUCAUGGACUUCAGUCAUCAACAGGUCCGCUUCGUGUCUAUCCACGCAUCUGAGCAGAACCAUGUCAAAGUUUCUCUUGUAAAGCACUUCGCCAUUGAGGUAGAAACUGCCUGACAAUCUCCUCAAAGUAUUCCUAUCUUUCACAGAUGCCCCAGGUGGGUAAACCCGGUUCUGAAGGAAACACUUGAUGUCUUAAUACCAUGGCUUAUCGUCUUUUACUUCUUCAACCGCAAAUACAUGAGUUGGUCUAUCGAAACGUGUUACAGUGAUAUUGGGGACUUCAUUCCAAUAUUUAACCACAAUCACUGAAGCAAGUGUAGCAAGAGCAUCUGCCAUCCGGUUCUCAUCUCGAGGAAUAUGAUGGAAGUCAACUUCAGUAAAGAAUGUUGAAAUCCUCCUCGCAUAAUCUCUAUAUGGAACGAGACGAGGCUGAUUCGUUUCCCAUUCACCCUUAAUCUGAUUAACAACGGCCGAAUCACCAUAUACAUCAAGAUGUUUGAUCCUUAGAUCAAUAUAUUCCUCCAAUCCCAUAAUGCAGGCCUCAUACUCAGCCAUAUUAUUCGUGCAUUUGAAAGUUAGCCUCGCUGUAAAAGGAAUGUGUGUGCCUUGAGGAGUAAUGAUUACUGCCCCAAUACCAUUUCCAUACGGAUUUACAGCGCCAUCAAACACCAUACUCCAUCGGGAACCAGGCUCUGGCCCUUCAUCGAGUGUAGGCUCAUUACAAUCUUUCAUCUUUAAAUAUAGAAUUUCCUCAUCCGAGAAGUCAUAUUGAACUGACUGAUAAUCCUCAAUCGGCUGGUGUGCCAAGUGAUCAGCCAAGAUACUACCUUUGAUUGCUUUCUGAGCUCGGUACUCAAUAUUGUACUCAGAUAACAACAUCUACCAACGGGCAAUCCUCCCAGUUAAAGCAGGCUUCUCAAAUAUAUACUUGAUUGGAUCCAUUCUGGAUAUUAACCAAGUCGUAUGAUUUAUCACAUACUGGCAUAAGCACUUAGCAGCCCAAGCUAAGGCACAACAUGUCUUCUCAAGCAUUGAAUAUCGAGACUCACAAUCAGUGAACUUCUUACUCAGGUAGUAAAUAGCAUACUCUUUCCUCCCUGAUUCAUCUUGCUGACCAAGGACACAACCCAUUGAAUCUUCAAGAAUAAUCAGAUCCAUAAUCAAAGGUCUCCCUUCCACAGGCGGAGACAGAAUCAGAGGCUCAGACAGAUACUCUUUAAUACUGCCGAAAGCUUUCUGGCAAUCCUCGGUCCAAUCAUGGGACUGAUCUUUCCGGAGGAGCCUGAAUAUCGGCGCACAUGUGGCAGUCAUGUGGGAUAUGACCCUGGAAAUGUAAUUCAAGCGACCAAGAAAACCUCGGACUUGCUUCUCAGUUUUGGGCGCAGGCAUCUCUUGUAUUGCUUUCACCUUUGCAGGAUCAACCUCAAUACCUCUUUCUCUGACAAUGAAGCCUAAUAACUUGCCAGAACGGACUCCAAAUGUACACUUGUUGGGAUUCAGACGAAGCUUAUACUUCUUCAGACGCUGAAAAAGCUUCAACAGGUGCUCUACAUGUUCAACUUCUGUUCUUGACUUUGCAAUCAUAUCAUCGACGUACACCUCGAUCUCCUUCUGUAUCAUAUCAUGAAACAAGGUAGUCAUAGCUCGUUGAUACGUGGCUCCGGCGUUCUUCAAACCGAAGGGCAUCAAUCGAUAACAAAAUGUUCCCCAAGGUGUGAUGAAUGUUGUCUUCUCCAUAUCCUCGGGUGCCAUCUUAAUCUGAUUAUAUCCGGAAAAUCCGUCCAUAAAUGAGAAGAUAUUGAAUUUUGCUGUAUUAUCUACCAACAUAUCAAUAUGUGGUAGAGGAAAAUCAUCUUUCGGACUAGCUUUAUUCAAGUCUCUAUAGUCCACACACAUCCGGACUUUUCCAUCUUUCUUAGGCACGGGCACAAUAUUGGCCACCCAUUGAGGAUAUGUAGAAGUCACCAGAAACCCCGCAUCAAUUUGCUUCUGAACUUCCUCUUUGAUCUUCACUGCCAUAUCAGGAUGAGUUCUUCUGAGCUUCUGCUUCACAGGCACGCACUCAGGUUUCAAAGGUAGGAAAUGUUGCACAAUAUCCAUAUCUAGACCAGGCAUGUCUUCAUAUGACCAGGCAAAGACAUCGACGUAUUCUCGUAGCAAUUCAAAACCCCUUCUUAACAGAUCCUUCCAAGAGUGCCCCAAUCUUCACUUCACGCACACAAUCCUCAGACCCCAAGUUGACUGUCUCCAGAUUCUCGAGAUGCGGCUGAAUGAUCUUUUCUUCAUGCUCAAGUAAAAGGGUAAUCUCGUCAGGAAUCUCUUCAACAACCUUCUUUCUCAUUUCCACUAGGGCCAACAGAAGUAGGAGUUUUCAGUACAGAGGAGGGUUUAACAACAAGUGCCGGAUUCAGAGAAUUCACCGCAUUCCCAAUCGGGCGUUCAACAAAAUUAGCAUUAGCCUGAGGUUUUGGUGGUGCUGAAAACACGCGACCGCUACGGGUUAAACCGCUUACGUUAGAAAUGUUCACCACAAAUGAAGAAGGCAAAGGCACCUUUUUCCCAUCUUCUACAGCAACAGCGUUGUAACGAAAGGGAAUUGCCUUUUCGGAAGAGUAUGGCACAGGACCGGAAGGCUUAAUGAUCAAGGAAGGAGAAACCUUCUGCUUGCUACCAUCGUAUCUAAUGAUAACAGGUUUGGGCAUCCGGAACACCGGGAAUAUUACAUUGACCUCAGGCUCAUCUUCGUCAACAUUUUUGUUUUGAAGGAUCUCAAUAACUCCUUCAUCCAGCAUUUCCUUAAGAUCUUUACGCACCUGGCGACAACCCAAUCGGUUAACAGGGAAGACUCGGCAUCUAUCAUGAUCGUGCUCAUAGUGACUGUACUCACACAGCAAACGGUGAAACUCAACCAGAGACUGUCGAAUAUGACUAACAUUUUGACCUUGUAUUUGCUAGGGCAGCCCUGGACCAUGUUAACAAAUUUCCCAUGCUCGGGCAAUGGGUUCUUCUUCAUGUUAGGACCUACGUCUUCAAAACACAGAAUGCCACAUCUUACAAGGUCUUGAACCUUGGUCUUCAAAGGAUAGCAAUUCUCCACUUUGUGGCCGGGAGCACCAGAAUGGUAGACACAAUGCAAUUCAGGCUUAUACCACCACUGGGGAUUAGCAGGUAUAGCCGGUGGGUCUCUCGGAGUAAUCAACUUCCUCUCUAUCAAAGAGGGAUAUAAUUCUGCGUACGUCAUCGGAAUAGGGUCAAAAGUGACCUUUUUCCUCUCGUAACUUGUGCUGGUUUGAUUACUGUUUCGAGGCUAGUAGGCCUGCUGUUGCGGUCGGUGUUGUUGUUGCUGAUAUUGCUGAGGUGGUUGCUGAUUACUACUAUGUGGGUGGUACUGUUGAUUGUCUCUGAAAACAGGUGCUAUAUGAGCCACCUGGUGCUGGUUACAGGCGGGACGCACAGUCUUCCUCCUCACAGAGGGUCUUCUUGGUUUCACAUGGGAGGUCACAGCAUGUGCCUCUCCAUCUUUCUUCUUUGCAAACGCCCCAUAACGUUUGGCAGAAGAGCCUUCCUCUUUGGUCAGACGUCCUUCUCUAACCCCUUCUUCUAAACGCAUCCCCAUAUUCACCAUCUCGGUGAAGUCAAAAGGAGCGCUAGCAAUCAUCCACUCAUAAUAGAAUGAACUCAUGGUUUUCAAAAAGAUCUUGGUCAUUUCCUUCUCUUCUAGCGGAGGCACGAUCUGUGCUGUCACUUCUCGCCAUCUCUGGGUAUACUCUUUGAAUGUUUCCUUGUCCUUCUGGGACAUGGCCCUCAAAUGAUCCCUAUCGGGAUCCAUAUCCACGUUAUAUUUGUAUUGCUUGACGAAGGCCUCGCCAAGGUCGUUGAAGGAUCGGAUGUUUGCACUGUCUAACCCCAUGUACCAUCUCAGGGCAGCAUCGGACAGACUGUCCUGAAAGUAGUGGAUGAGCAACUGGUCGUUAUCAGUCUGAGUAGACAUCUUCCUGGCAUACAUGACCAGGUGGCUAAGAGGACAAGUGUUUCCUUUGUACUUUUCAAAGUCAGGGACCUUGAAUUUCACAGGAAUCUUCACGUUGGGAACCAAACACAGUUCGGCAGCAGACUUGCCGAAGAGAUCCUUUCCUCUAAGAGUUUUCAAUUCCUUGCGAAGCUCAAGAAAUUGAUCAUUCAUGGCGUCCAUCUUCUCGUAGACAUCUGGGCCCUCGGACGGCUCAGAAUGAUAGAUGGUGUCGUCUACCCUAGGCAUGGUAUGCAAGACAGGAGGAGGAACAGCAAGGACCGGGCUAGAUGCCUGCAUAGAAGCAAAAGUUGGAGCAGGACCCUCGGGCAUAAAGUUAGGAGGCAUUCCCCAUGGAAACCCGGUUGGCAUGGCUGUAGGAGCAAAGUGUGCGCUGGCUGCAGGCACAGUUGAGGAGACAAUCUCUGAGAUGACUGUCCUCUGGGGGGGAGUUGAAGGCGUUGGAGAAGACUGGCUCUGGGCAGCCAAAAACGAUUCCAUCAAGGCACUCAGUCUGGCCACUUCCUCCUUAAGUUCACGGUUCUCUUGCUCUAGUUGAUCCAUCAGUCUUGAAGUGUUGGCUCUAGUGUAGUACCGGUGAGUCAGCUUGUCUUCAAAAUAAAUGAAGAAUACAGAGUUCGACCAUAGGACAAGAGAACGGAAACCAAAACCUGCUUAUGCAUAUGAUGCAUGCAAUGCUUGUGCACAUGAUUUGUUUUUAUUUCAAAGGAUUUCUAGGGUUUUAUUUGCAAAUUUUUGGAAAUAUUGAACAUUUAUCACAUAUGGAAAUAUCUCAUCAAAUAAUAUCAGGGAAAAGAAGUACAACAUUGUCAAUCACGUACAAGAGGAAACGAAAAUAAUCAUACUAUGGAUCCCUAGAAACAAUCAUCUAAUGCUCGGGACACAGGAAGAUAAGAUGCACGAAGCCUCUUCACUUCCUCCUCAUAAGCUGUUGUCGCAUUACGCGAAAAACCGGCGGGAAAAAGAAACACAGAGCCGCCACCGUGCGUUAUUUAUCCCAAAGGAGGGAAAGGAAACACUCGAAGUAAACCUGGAAAGGAAAUGGUCUCGCGACUAGAGAUGGAUAGGAUCGGGAGUCGGUUAUGCGAAGGGAAGGUAUUAGCACCCCUACGCAUCCGUCGUACUCGACGGGAUCCACGCUCAGAAAGGAUAGAAAGAAGGUUGCUAAAUAACUGCUCAAACACUACACACACGCUGGGAUCAAACAUAGAUGAAAGACUGAAGAAGAGGACUCGGCAGGAUAUCGCAUCCUAGGCCUACGUAGUCUGUCAGACACAGACAUCAGAGUCGACGUAGUUCGGGGGAGAAAGCGGAACGUGUUCGCUAGGAUAUCGCAUCAUAUGCAUACAUAUCUUCUCUAACCAGAGAAAGAAUCAGAGCACUCGUAGCUCGGCUAACGCACGCCAAACAAAGACACUAAACGGAGACACUGAGACGUCAAACGAGACACACAACUGGAAACGGAAUGCCAAUCAACGGGCUUACAUCCAACUCCAGACACACAAAGCAAAACAGGAAACCGACUGCCAAUCGCUGGACUUAUGUUAGACUCCAGACACACACACAGGAAACCGAAUGCCAAUCGCUGGACUUACAUCAGACUCCUACCAGAAAGGGAGAAUAGACAGACACGAAAAGAAAAGAAAGCGGGCCCCCCGGAGAGAUCAGCUCAUCUCCUGCCUACGUACCUCAUCUGGUAUGAGGAUCAGGGCGAUGUAGUUCCCCUUAACAAGGAAAGAACUUCUAACCUAACCAGAGACAAGGGAGAUAACAGACUACUAGGAAGACUACGACUCGAGCCUAGAAGUUGUCAUGCAUACGAUCCCUAUGUUGAGGUCUCUAUCCUAACUUGCACAGGAAGCAAGCUAUCCUAAACGGCACAUAAGCAAUCACAAGCACAAGUAUCACACACUAUAUGCAAACAAUUGGCUCACACAGGGCUAGGCUUUAGUCCAGGGGGUCAAAUCAACCUCAGACAAACAAGCCAACUGGAAUGGGGUGUUUUUUAGGCUCUUAACCCUAACAUGAGAGUUAGGGUGAAGCAGAUGAAAUGGUAUGAGGUAUGCCUCAUAGUUUAUCCCUGACCUGGGAGAGCUUCCAAUCAAAUGAAGUGUGGGAGUUCAGAAUGCAGGAACUCUUCUCCAAAAUGACACAACAGAUUUGGGUUUUUAUUCAAUUGCAUCAACACAUGGUGUGAGCAAGUGCAUGACAACAAUGAAAAUGAGCAGGGAUGGAUGCACACUCCUUGUACUGCCAAUUGCCUCUUAGAGGACUUAACCUGCUUGGCACAAAUUAAAAACCAAACAUUGCCUCUUAAGAGGGCUUCAGACAGGUUCCUGCCAAAGUAACAUGACAGUUUCAGACUACAUGAAGAUUAGGGUUAUACCUAAGUGGUAAUGGCCAAACCACAAGCAAAGCAAAGCAAAGUCAAAUAAACCUAAAAGCAACUUAGGUACCUGUGGAAACAACUAAACAAAUCAGUACAACUCAGUCAAACAGACAACAGUCAAUAACAAACAGGCAAUCACUGUACACAAAUAAGCAUGAGGCAAACUCAAAUGAGUUUAUCUCAACCUACAAAACAGCAAAUGUUAGCAUACAAAAGCAAAUAUCAACAUUUAAAUGAGAAGCAACAAAUUAACCAUGGAAUUUAGAUGUUGAACCUGAAAUUCAAAGCUCACAUGAAGUACAAACCACUAGGUCAAAGCCUAGGGUCAAAGAUGAAGAAAAAAUUCAAAACAGAGCUGAAAUUCAAGCACAAUGCAACUUCAAACACAUAUUAACAUGUCCAAAAAAGGAUCACAACAAAAUCAUCAAGCAAGUCCAUGUAAUAAGCCAAGAGAAAGUCAAAAGGCAAUUUUAAAGCUCAUGAUGGACAUCAUGAAUGAAAUUCAAAUCAAAACAAAAUGAUUCAAAUAAUUAUGGAAAAAAUUCAUGAGGCAUCAAACACGUCUAACACAGGAUCAACAUACAAAAAAUCAGAAAGGCAUCAAAGAUCAAUUGGCAUGGAGUUAAAUUGGUACAAGUUGAACAACCAAAGUGUGACACAAAUUCCAACACAUGCAGAACACAAUGCAUAAAAUAGAAAUGGUAAAGUGGAAAGUACAAAACCAAAGCCUAAAACAUCCAUCAAUGUGUCUAGAAUCAUCAUGUAAAAUUUCAUGGCAUUUGGAUCAAUAUCAAGCAUUUCACAAUAGAAAGAACAAGGCAAUGUCACAUAUGUACAUAUGUUCACAUAAUCAGUCACAAUUCAAAUUCUAGAAGUGAUAAAAUCAUGAACCAACUACCAAAAAAUAAUAGACAUCUCAAGGGUCAUGUAGCAAAAAAUCUGGAAUUAAUUGGAUGAUUUUUCAAUUUGAUAUGACUUUUUGAAGUUGACAAAAAAUGAUGAAAUAAAAUUUGACAUGUGUACAUGAUAUUUGGAGGGAAAGAAGAAAUGGAAAAGAAAUUUGAAAAUAUGCAGCAUGCAGGAAUCGAAGCGUGUGGGCGCCUGAACCAGACAAAACCCUAGCACUGGUAUGCGUAUGGUACGCGUAAUGUCAAAAUUAUAGCAGGUCGUACGCGUAUGAUACGUGUACGUUGCGUGGAGGUUUCCACCGUCUUCUUCGCGAAGAUGGUGGCGCUACAAUGCAUGUGUUCAGAAUUUUUUUCCAGAAUUUCGAAAUGCAUACAUCAACAGAAAGCUCUUCCAAUGUAGGUUACAGAUCAAUCAAUAUCUAAGCCUAACAAGCCAUGGAUUAAGAGAUACGAGCAAAACAUUUUGAUAUGUCAAACUUUAAUCAAGCAAAUCAUUCAUUUCUCAUGCCAUUUCACAGCGAAUUUUAUAUCAGAUUAAUCACAUUGAAACCCUACCGUAAAUAUGUUAAUGGAUGUAAGAAUGUGAGAUUCGAUAACUGAACGCUUGUGAAGCAGUUCUAUAAAACGCACGUCCAUAGCUUCAAAUGAUCAAAUCAACUCCUGAGAUGAUAACUUGAAUUUAUUGUGUGAGAUUGAAGAUUGAAAGAACUAGAUCUUGAUUAUUUCGCACUGUCGAUCUUGCAUGAGUUGCUGUUUGUGAGUAUGCACAAAUUCUGCUCGAAUUUAAUGAUCCAAUGCUUGAUUCUUCAUCCACUACACUCAAUAAACCAGAAUAUGGAAGAAAAAUGCUAUGCUAUGUGGAGAAUUUUCAAGUUUUGAUUGAGCGAAAAUUUUGGAGGGAAAAAGUUUUAGAUCUAGAAAUGAUGAAAAAAUGAUUAACCUCUUUAAAUUCUGUUAGAUUAGAGUAUUUAUAUGCUUCCUUAAUCACCUUGCUAAUCCAUAAUUAGUUUGGUUAAUGAAAAUAAGGUGUUUUUGCAAAAAAUAAAAAUUGCAUGGUGCAUGUAGUAAACCCACGUGAACAGUACCACUUCCUUCAUCAAAGUCACUUAAAAUCAUCUUUUAACUACAAUGGCAAUGGUAGAAAGUCCAUACAAUGCACCAUUUUUGAAUUUUGCAAUUUCCCUCCAAAAAAGGCAUGGAUAUGCAAGUGAUAAUAUGAUGACAAUUUCAUGCAAUGUGAUGAGGUAUUUGGAAAAUUCAUGACAUGAGAAACAUUUUGCAAAAAGAACCACCAAAUUUGGAGUUUUGGUUCAAAAGAUAUGGUCAUUUGAAGUUUCAAGAGACAAUUUCAUGCAAUGUGAUGAGGUAUUUGGAAAAUUCAUGACAUGAGAAACAUUUUGCAAAAAGAACCACCAAAUUUGGAGUUUUGGUUCAAAAGAUAUGGUCAUUUGAAGUUUCAAGCACACUUUGCCAUGAUUUGAUCAUAACUCCUAACCAUUCAGCAUAAAUUCAUGAUCUUGGAAUUUUUGGAAAUGGGAGAGAAAGGUCUUCAACUUUCAUGUUGGAUAAAAAUUCAUUUGAAGCUUCUUUGAUGUUGGAAAGUUGAGUUGAAGUUGGUCCAAAAACUUGCCAUUUUUGGAAACUUUCAAAUUACAGGUCGCUUUCCAUUUUUGGAAACUUUUGAUCUGACUUCAAAAUAUUCAAGGUAGAUGUUUGACAUGAUGAAUAAACCUCUUUUGGACAUGAAUGAAGUGUCUCAAACCAUUUCUCCAUCUCCUAGCCCUUAGUUGACUUGCAGUUGACUUUUAUGGGCCUCAGAUGACUUGGACAUAUACUGAUGACUUUUAAGCCUCUAGCUUUUGGUCAAGUUGCUUCAAAAUGAUCCUUAAUUCACACAAACCCUCUAGAACAAUCAUAGGGCCUUCAUCUCAUGGAAAUGCUUGGUCUCUUGCACAGUUGACUUCUCCUGAUGCCAGUCUUGACUGAUGAAAUGCAAGGUACUAUGCAAUGUUAAUGCAAUGUUAAUGCAAUGUCAAUGACCUAAAAAAUGAAAUGAAUGUACAAAUGGGGGGGUGCAAGUUUGAGGUGCUACAGCUUCCUCCAUAUCCGCCUUCUCUUUGGCGAGUCGAUCGUACUUCCUCUUCCAAAACCUGGAAGACUAAGGAAGUACAGAAGUCCAUGCAUCAUUAGGAUCAUCAAUAACCUGAUGCUCAAGGAACUCAAUCAAGGCAUCCUUCUCCUUAAUCUGCUGAAGCAACUCUUCCCUUUCACGGAUCCAAGCACGUGAUAGGUCUUCGUCUCUUAACUCCUUUACUCCUUGAUUAGGGAGGGUUGAAUGCCCAGCCAUAAUCAUAGGUGUAGGUCUCGGAUACUCGUAAGGCAUGAGAUACUCAGAAGCUCUCCUCCUUACCCAAGCAGUAUAAGGCUCCAAAGCGAUGCAAUUCUUAGGACCCAACUCCUUCCUAUCAGAAGCUCUCCUCCUUACCCAAGCAGUAUAAGGCUCCAAAGCGAUGCAAUUCUUAGGACCCAACUCCUUCCUUCCUUUCUUAUGAAUCUUGCGCCAAGCGCGGAUCAUCCUAGCUUUCAAGCCUUAGGGAUCUUUACCCUCCUGAAAGAACACACCCUCUAACAAAAUGUUAUUAGGUUUAUCCUUUAGGGGGAACCCAAGCUGACGACGGGCUAAAACAGGGUUGUAGUUAAUCCCACCACAUGUACCAAGAAGAGGCACAUUGAAGAAUUCACCACAAGAGUCGAUAAUCUGCACACCAUUAUACACACGGUUGUACCAAGAGAUGUCAUCAUUAGUGAGAGACAAAAGUCUCGUGGACCACCGUAGACAUCCCUUGUUCUCCUUGAAAGAGACCGUCUGAGGUAAGUGAGAAAUAAACCACUUAUACAACAGAGGCAAACAACACACAAUGGCGCCACCACCCUUUGCAUUCCUCAUAUGCAAAGAGAAAUAGGCAUCACCCAACAUAGUAGGAACAGGAUUAAGAGUAGAAAAGAUCCUAAUAGCGUUCACAUCCACAAACUUGUCGAUGUUGGGGAACAAUACCAAUCCAUAGAUGAGAAGUACAAAUAUGGCUUCAAAGGCAUCAUCACUCAUAGCCUUCCCAUAGAUAGUAGCUUGAGCAAUGAGGAACUCAGAAGGGAGACCUUGAAUUCCACCUUUGGUAGUCAUAUGAGCACCAACCAGAGAUUCAUCUAUGUGUAACAUAUCAGCUAUCUCUUGAGAAGUAGGAACAUUCUCCAAGCCAAUGAACGACAACUGAUCCAGGAUAGGUAUACCCACAAGAUAAGCAUACUCCUCAAGGGUAGGCAAAACCUGAAAGUACGGAAACGUGAAGCAACGGUACAAGGGAUCAUAAAACUGCACCAAUACACUCAUCAACCCUUCAACCACCUGAGUAGUCAGAAGAGGAAGAAGCUUCCCGAAACGAGCUUUGAAACCCAAGGGAUCUAGUACAUAGGAUGUCAAAUUCCUUAACUCUUUCAGAUCUGGUUACCUGAAGCUGUACUUCUUUGUCUUCCUUCUUUGUCUGAAAAUUUUGCAAAUAAACCCCUUAAGUCCCUUGAAAAUUUUCUUCAUUAUUGAUGAUAUGGAUGCAAAUGGAUGCAUGAAUGCAACAAUCACACUCAAGGAUCAAGCAAAGCACACCAAACGAAGGUCAUGGGAUGGAUCAUAUUAUCCUUAAUAUCAAUCAUCCAUUUUGGUGGAUUAUGGUUUUACACCUUAUCAACACCCAAGUUCCAUUGAUAUUAAGGGUAUAUGAACGAAUCAACCAUGAAUCAAGGGUUUGUUGCAAGUCACGAGCAUGGAGUCUUGGUUAAGAACCACCCAAAGGGAAUGUACUAGGGUUUAAACCUGCCAAACAUGUUCUACAAGAGGUUCCCAUAGUCAUCAUCCCAUCUUUCGGAUAUUAUCGGAGAAACGACUACUCGUAUUCCAAAAAUAUUCUCAAGAGAGACUCUUAUGAGUGUAGUAUCACGUAACAAUCGUAUCAAAUCUUACACUUGAACGACUUUCGCACUACAUCCUAAGAAUAGGCCAAGAUGGGCUUGGUAAACUAAGGUCCUUGGCUUCUAAGGUCUAUAUUGGAAAGAGUAAUGUCUAACCACAACUUACUUGUGUGACAUUAUUGAUCCCAACAUGACCUCCACCAAGUGAAUGGACUUGCAAGUCAACUUGCUAAGGAAUAACUCCACACAAGUCAACAAGACUACGCCAUUCUCCUAUCCUAAGUGCACUCGAGUCCGGGUAUAGAACUCAUCUCACAAAGAUCACCAAGCAUACAAGGAAUUAAUAUCAAGCAAAUCAAUCAUUACAUACAAUACAGUAAUCCCAAAUUGCACAAAAAUAUGUCACAAAACAAUACAAUACAGCAAGCAUGAAAAGUUGGCAAAACCCACUAGGCCAAGAUCCCCAGCAGAGUCGCCACUUUUCUGUAGCGGGGUAUUCGUUACCAUUAGAGAUAUUGACUAAAUCCAAGGUAAGUCAUACAAGUCGAGUCGCCACCGCACUUCUAUUUAUCUAAAGGAAUGGUUAGAAAGCGAACAAAAAACCUAAAAGUUUUAACAAAAACUAGUAAAAGAAACAGAGAUCUGGGUAAGGGGGUUGGUUAGGUAAUGGGAAGGUGUUAGGCACCCAAAACAUCUUAGGUACUCCUAGGGAGCCCUUUUCACACUUGUGAAGGUUGUUGUCUUGUGAAAAUUUUGUUUGUGCAAACAUGAUUGAAGAGAUGAGAAGAGAAUAUACAAGUUUAUUUACAUUUUGUUUGGAUGGAUAAACCCAUUGCCUACGUACCAUCUUAAAAAAGAUUAGGAUCAAAACCUCGUAGUUCGGGGUAAAAAUCUCAAAAUGAGUUGGUGAAUUGAUUGGUCCAAAAGCCUUAAGGUCUUUUGUUAUCCAAGGGAGAAAACUCAACCUAAAACCACAAAUCCACCAUGUGAGGAUAGCUUCAACAUGCUAGUGAGGGGUUAACCCUAUAAUAAGCAUGGAAGACUCAUUGUCCAUCACUAAGGAUAUAGGUGAGUAUUACAUCUACCACAAGGAUAACUCAAACCUAAUAGCUAAAGGUUAUGAAAAAUUUGAUUAAGGAAGUGGCCAUUGGAACCACAAAAAGACAUUUGAAUGGGUUAUAUUUACCAAUUAGAAGUAUAUACAAAAUGGUCAAAGUUGACUUAAAAGUUCAAUUCAAAAUAAGUGUUAUGAAAAGAAAGUUUGAAAAUCAAAAGCAUAAGGCUUAGGUUUCUAAUGUUUGAAAAGAAGUGUUAAAUGUUUGCACAAAAGUUUUGGCUUGGGUUAGAGUGGAGGGAAGAAGAAGAAUGGCUAAAGUCCUAAUCAUACAAGAGAUAAGGGAUAAGAAACAAGACCACAAAUGGAGUUCCUCUCUUGAGAUCAUAUUGAUGAUCCAAGUAGCUCCCAUCCUUUGGAAUAAGAAAUCACACAAAGCUUAAGCAAUCAAACAAGUCUCUUAAGAGAUCCUCAAUGUAUCUUGUAUCUUCCACUUGGAUGAACAUGGCAAUGGUCCUCCAAUUAAGCUUACGUAGAAUUCCCUAGCACAAAAGCACACACAUCAAAAGUUCCAUGAAGUAAAUCAAGAAUGGACAAGAGUGAGUUUAGAGGUUUGGUCCUUCUAAUCCAUCUUCAACAUUAAGGUCCUUUUACUCCAAUUUGCAUAGGGAAAGUCCUAGAAACUAAGUCCAUUUGUCCAUUUCUUUGCAUUUGGUCCACAACAAUCAAAACAAAACACAAGCACAAUAAUAUAUACACAAUUAUGUGCUCAAGUGAGCAAAAGGCAAAUGGCAUUAACAUAAACAUGUGCUCAAGUGAGCAAAGAGAAAAGCAAAUGGAUAAUAUGUGCAAGAAUAGUAAAUUGCAUAAAAGUAAAGAGCAAAAGUAAAUGUUAAUGGUUAAUAGUUAGUGUUAGUAGUUAGUGUGCCAUAAGGCAAAUUUAGCGCUAUGUUAAGCAAUCGUAAUUGGACUUAUGUAGAAGUCACAACUAUCUGAGGCCGGUCAAUAAUAAUGUAGGCAACAAACACAAGUUAGGAGUCUUGAUUAGUGAACCAAGUCCCAACAACUUGCCAUGCCAAAAGGAGAAGAGAAUUGAUCUUGUAUUGGUUUAAGCCUUAUGCAUGAUUUAUAAGACAACCUAUCCUUAAUGCAAAGCCAUUCACUUGAUCAAUUGAUCAAGAUGAAUUAGAUUUGAAUCAAGGAAGGUUAAAUCCUUCUAAUCAAUGCUAACUUAUCAACCUUCAACUCAUUGAUCAAAAAGAAAAAGAAGAAGAAGGAGAAGAAAAAGGAGAUGGAUAAGAGAAAUGGAAAUGACAAAAUUAAAGUGCAUUGAAUGAAACCUCAUGUACCAAUCCUCAUAUGUUGACCAAUAACGUUUAAAGUCAAGGUCAAACUAUCAAAAACAGAAGUGAGAUGAGGAUUGGAAGUCAAGAAAUGAAUAAACUAUUUUUGGCAUUUUUUAAUAUUAAAAAUAAACUUGAAUUAAAAUAAAUGGAAAGGUCAAACUUCAAAAUCACUUCAAAUCAACCUUGAAAGGUCCUAGUGAUUUAUCCUAAGUCCAACAACGUCAAACAAGGUUUGACAAAAAAAAUUAGCAUUUUUAAAAGUCAGAAACUAAUUUUAAUCAAUUAAAAGAAGAAUAAAAACAACCUAAUUGAAUUAAAAUCUCAAAUAAAUCUCAAAUCAAUUCAAAAAUUGAUGAGAAUAUUUUUCAUAGAUCCAUCAUCAUUCAAAUAGUUUAGGAAAAUAUUUUUGCAUUUUUUUGAAUAUCAAAAACUAUUUAAAAUGAAUUAAAAAUAACCAGAAAAGAGAAAAUUCACAAAAAAUAUCAAAUGACAAAAUAAAAAAUAUUAAAAAAAAGAAAUACAAACUAGAAUUUAUUUGGGAAAUAAUGCAAUUGGUCCCAUAUUUUUUGGAUUAAAAAUGAAGAAGAUAUUAAUUUUUGAAAUAAAAUGGAAUUAACGAAAAUAAAAGGAAAAUAAAACAGAAAAUAGAAAUUGGAAAAAAGCGUGACCGUCUGAUCUAAGCUCAUUAAUUAUGCUGGCAAAUCAUGAGGCCAGGAAGCGCGCGCCUAUGGUGAUCCACGGUCAAUGCGUUCACAUGUGAAACAAAUAAAAGUAAUAACAAGCAACGCUCCUGAUUCAAUCUGGAAAACAGAUCACACGGCCAGAAUUUAAACUGGGGACGAUGAAGCCACCGGAGCCACCGUCUUCUCCGGUGAGCUUUCAGAUUCCGGCCAAAAUGCAGAACUUCGAAAGGCAACCAAAACGUUCGAUCUAUACAUCAAUAGAAAGCUAAGAUGAUGUACAUCAUCUCUAUACCAUCCAUUUUCCUUCUAGAUCUCUAUGAUUUGAGAAAUCAGAAGUUGAAAAAUCCGGUGUUCAUCAUGAACUCAAUGAAUUCCAAAAAUUAAAAGCAUAAACAUGAUGCCUCUAUUGAGAGGACUUCAGCCAACACAAAACCACUGCCAAUAGGUCAAAGGAUUAGGAGAAUCGAAGGAAUUACCAGUUGGAGUUAAAGUUUGAGUUCUGGUGAUUUGAGCUUGAAACCUUGCUUGCUUUAUCAAAACAGAAGUUCAAUGAAGUGUAUAAUGAAGGUCUAGAAGCAUUAGAUCUAUGAAUACAACCAGAUGUAGUUGAAUUCGAGAUCUGAAAAUUUUAAGAGAAAUGAAACUUGCUUCUUUAGUGAUGGUUGGGGAAUGAAUUCUGUAGCAAUUCAGGUUGAAAUUGUGUGUGUAAAUGGAGGGAAUGAAGCAUAUAUUUAUAGCUGAAGCUGAUGCCAAAUGAGAAGAAACUCGUGUGCAUGAAGCUUUGGGUACUCCAUGCAUGGGCCUGUACAGGCGCAUGUGAGGCCCAAAAGCCGAUGGAUUUGCAAGCUGAUAGCACAAUGAAUUGAUUUGGACGUGUAAUUUGCCUUGCAAUAGCUUGCAUUUCAAGAUUCAAUGUGAAUUCUCCAUUUGUACCUAAAUAAUCAUCUCUUCGAAAGUGCCACUUAGAAAAUCCAAGCAUAAGCAUAUGGGUAAUGGUUGGAAAGGUCUUUGUAU